rnacentral:rRNA from 1 species
AGUGGGGAAUAUUGCACAAUGGGGGAAACCCUGAUGCAGCCAUGCCGCGUGUGUGAAGAAGGCCUUCGGGUUGUAAAGCACUUUCAGUCGUGAGGAAAGGUGCGUAGGUAAUAUCUGCGUACUGUGACGUUAGCGACAGAAGAAGCACCGGCUAACUCCGUGCCAGCAGCCGCGGUAAUACGGAGGGUGCGAGCGUUAAUCGGAAUUACUGGGCGUAAAGCGUGCGUAGGCGGAUUGUUAAGCGAGAUGUGAAAGCCCCGGGCUCAACCUGGGAACUGCAUUUCGAACUGGCAGUCUAGAGUUUUGUAGAGGGUGGUGGAAUUUCCAGUGUAGCGGUGAAAUGCGUAGAGAUUGGAAGGAACAUCAGUGGCGAAGGCGGCCACCUGGACAAAAACUGACGCUGAGGCACGAAAGCGUGGGGAGCAAA